ACCGUCUCCGCCCAGCAGCCGUACCUGUGGGCGCCAGAAGCCCGGGCAGCGGCGCGCCGGACCGGGGUGGCGGGUGGCCCCACAGACCCGGAAAGCGGGGGAAGGAGCCGGAGCCCGACCGGGAUGAGAAGGUGACGCCGCUGGGGGGCGCCACUCGCUUUGUAGGGGAAGAUGCUCGCCUACUGCGUGCAAGAUGCCACCGUGGUGGACGUGGAGAAGCGGAGGAACCCUUCCAAGCAUUAUGUGUAUAUCAUCAACGUGACCUGGUCUGACUCCACGUCCCAGACCAUCUACCGGAGGUACAGCAAGUUCUUUGACCUGCAGAUGCAACUUUUGGAUAAGUUUCCCAUUGAAGGUGGCCAGAAGGACCCCAGACAGAGAAUCAUCCCCUUCCUCCCAGGCAAAAUCCUCUUCCGGAGAAGCCACAUCCGGGAUGUAGCUGUGAAGAGGCUGAAGCCCAUCGAUGAGUACUGCCGGGCCCUUGUCCGGCUGCCUCCCCAUAUUUCACAGUGUGAUGAAGUCUUUCGGUUCUUUGAGGCCCGGCCAGAGGAUGUCAACCCUCCAAAAGAGUAAGUGGAAGCUCAGGCCUCUCCGCGUGCUUGGGGUGUGGCUAAAGCUGAAGCCAGCCUGGAGGGGCUUGGGAUGUGGGGACACAAGUAGAGGCAGAGCCGGCAACGCCGAGGUUAAGCACAGGUGGACCAAAGGCAGUUCCCUAGACUUCUGUUGCCAAGGCUUGUUCCUCAUUUCUCUUGACCUCAGGGCUGGCAAGUGUGAGUGUCUUUGCAUCUGGGGAACAGGUUUUCCUGCAAACUCUUUUUAGCUCACAGGCUGUUGCCAGGAGCAGAUAACAGAAAAUAUAAUGGUCAUGCCAUUCAGAUGCCCAAGGUUGGCAGUCAGUGCUCUAAAUUGCUGAUGCUGCCAAGCAUCCAGCUGAAAUAUAGGGCCAGGAGGGCACUCUGCCCAGGUGACCCUCUCCCGCUGACUGACCCCGAAGUCCUGGGCUGCUGAAACAGAUCCUAUGAUCAUCAUGGAAAUCAACAGUCGCCCUGUUUACAGAGGAAACUGGCUGAUGUUCUAUCUUAGGGAGAAGUGGGGACCCAAGCAGACCUUUUUUUCUUUUCUGGAAGCAGGACACUCUGAGCCUGUUAGUCAAGACGACCCCCCUGGUCAUACUGGUUUCUCACGCAUGUGCCCAAACUCCAUCCUAAGGGCUGCCGUCUCUUGUUCAGAACACUACCCUCACCUAUGCUCCCCAGAGUAGCUUCCCAAUAGAGAGAAAAAUCCAGUUUUCACCCAGGAGCUGAUGAGCGGAAGAAGGAAGCCGAGGAAGAGAACUGGGUAGAAGAGAGGUUGGGGGAAAGGACUGAAGGGGAUGCUGACUGAUCCUCUCACUCCAUACAUCUGUUCCCCAGAUCUUAAACACCUGUUCCCUGUUUUUAAAAUACCAGGUUGGGCAAGAGAGAGAGGCAGAUGGUACAGAGGGAAGGGAAAGAAUAGUACAGAGGACUUGUCUGGGACAGGUGGGAGGCAAGGGGCCAUCUGGUGAUGGGGAGGAGAAAACAUGCAGAGAAGGGUGUGUGUUGCACAGCUCCAGGGAUGCUGUCGUGAACAGUGCUUCUCUGUGAACAGUGCCCAUAGAGGUUGUAGAGUGCGCAACCUGCACACCCGUACAUGGCAGUCCUGCUCAAAGGAAUCCUCUUUUUCCCAUCCUUUAAGACUAAGAGCCUACCAUGGCCUAGGCCCUUUGGAUGAGGAAAGCAUUAUCCAGCUCAGAGGCUGACCUGGUCCAACAAAAGACAUUAUCUUUUUUCCUGGCUGCCACAGGCUUAAGAAAUAAGCAAAUGCUAUGAACCAUCAGAAACGCAUCUCAAUGUGGUUCACAGUGUGGAGCUGUUGAAAGCCACAGAGAGUGGGAUGCAUGGUGUUGAGCUCACACCCCACCUCUGCUACUUACUGGCCGCACUCGUCUACCUGCCUCCUCUCUUUCUCCUCUGUGAAAAGGAAAUGGUGCUUAAUCCCUGAUCUUGCUACCUCUAAGAAUUAUCUUGGAAACUCAGAUGCCUUGUGGGCUGGGCAAGAGCUUUGUAAACAACAAAAUGUGAUGCAAAUGUGUUUUCACCAGUGGGAAAAGCAUCGAUCUCACUGCACCUCCUAUGUGUCAGGCCUGUGAGAGAGGUUUGCACCGGGAGUUACAUAUUCUUAUCCACACACGUUAUGAUAAGGGAGCAGGUGCACAGAUGGAGUCAGGACUUGAACCCAGAUUUUUCUGGCUCCAGAGGCCCAUACUCUUUCCACUCCUCCCACCUACCUCCCUGGUUUGGGGAGGAAUCAGGGGGACCAGGACCAUGGUCCUGACACCUCUCAGUGUGCCCUCUCUGUCUGCCCUUCUCUGUGCCCCCUGCCCCAGCCUUCCUCACUCUCCCAGGGCAGAGGAAGGCUCCUAAGACCGGCAGCAACAUCCCCCCUUCCCCCGGCCCUGCCAGUCCCCAGCAGUGAUGGCCUCUCAGAGCCCCUUGUUCUUCCUCCUUUCAUGGGGAGAGGAGAUACACCCCUCCCCAGGUGGGCUGUCUCUGGAGUCAUAUGUGAUCAUGUGCCCAGAGGAGGGGAGAGGGGUUGUUGCUGGUGCGUGAAGUGGCAGGUGUCCGGCUACAAAAUCCCCUCACCCUGCCUUUGAUUCAUGCCUCUAAACCAUUCUCUGCCGCUCACCUUAGUAAGCUGGCCCUAUGUCACCUGUUGACCUGCACAUUAAUGGCUCUAGGUUAGCCUUUUGCCCCUCCCUGGAAGGCGCUCGAGGAAGUGUGCAAACCUGGCUCAGCGAGACCGCUGAGUGUUGGCGAGGGAGCAGGUGUGGCUUUGUGGGGCAGGCUCUGGGGUCCAGGCCCACAGCUCAAGGUUCCAUGCUCUCUGACCAUUUGCCCAGGCUCUCUGUCUUUUUGUGCUCCCAUCCUUGAAAAGAGAGAAUGCAGGAUCUCUGGAGCGGUCCAGGGGGCUUAUGGAGACACCACAUGUUCUGAGAUAACCCAGCCGGUGCUGUUGGUCCAGCACCAUAAGAAGUGCCUAGCAGUUUCGUUCAUGGAAGGUUGUGGAACAGAAUGGAAUGGGGCUCAGCCUGUGCCCUGCCUCUGCAGAGCACAGCCCGGCUUUUGCAGGGAGGAAUCGGAAGCAUUGGGCCUCUGAGUCACCAUGGGAAGGGGGCUCAUCUGCCUCUUUCUUGAGGUGGCACCGGCCACCUGGGCCAACUCACAACUCGUUUGGCAGGACCCCUCCAGCAUGAGACAGGCCUGGCUGGGGCUCAGGAGACAGGGUCAGCCGCAGCCUCACGGUUCCAAAGGGCUUUCCUGCCUUGGCCCCUCUCAGCCUCCAGGUCCUGACAGGUCCGUGCUCACCAUGGAGCCCAGACCCAGGGGUGACUUGGGCUGACAGGCUGACAUUCUGUCAGCCAAGUUCCUGCAGCCCAUCCCUCUCAGGGCUGCUUGCAGGUCCCCCGACCACCGUGCACCUCCCCCUUCCAUCCCGAAACAUAAACACAGGAUCGAGUAGCAGCGUAUUUUGACUCUGGGGCGACUGUGGAGGGGCUUAUCAAAUUAUCAAAGCCUGUGGAUUUAAUUGGAAUUUUGCAGAUAACCCCGGCCCCUUUCAAGUGUGCUGCUGCGGGGCCUCUGAGCAUUCUCGGGGGGCUGGGCGGGGGGACCACAGCCUUUUCCAUCUUGAGGGGAAGACAAGGCUGCAAGAGCCCAGCCUGGGGAGCAGUGGGCAGCAGGCCCCGGCCCCUCGGCUUUGAUCCCAGGCUGCUCACUGGCUUCUGUGGGUAGAGAGCGGGGCCCACCUCUGAGCUGCUAGCUGUUGUUCUAGACCACCGGCCCCACACAGAAAGAUGUGCUUUAUAGAGACGGUUGGUGAGCCUGGCAUGGGCGGCCUUGGUGGUUUCGCCUGCUCAUGUGGUUGCCCAGGAAGGUUGCUUCUCCCCUCGUGCACUGCCCCCCGCCCCCAGCUCAGGCCCCAAACUCAGGCAUUAUUCUGGAUUCAUCUCUCCUUCACACCCCUCCAUCCCACUUGUCCACACAUCCUGUGGGCACUGUCUUUGGAAUAUACCCAGACCCUGACCACAUCUCACCGCCCCCGCUGCUGCCACCCCAGGAGGGGCCACGCCAUCAUCUCUCCCUGGAUUCUGGCCUGACUGGUCUCCCUGCUUCUGCCCUUGCCCUCUGUGGUCCCUUUUCAACCCAGGGGAAGGGACGAUCCUUCUUAAAUGUACGUCAGAUCAGGUCAUCCCUCCGCUCAAUCUCCUCCACGCCUCCCGUGUCACUCAGAGCCAAGGCCCUGCCCCCCUCCCCACCCCAGGUGGCACCUCCCUCCUCUCCUGCCUGGCUCUGCUCCAGCCCCACUGGCCUGCUUGCCGCUUCUACACCUUCCAGCCAUGUUCCCGCCUCAGGGGCUUCGCGCUGGCUCUUCCCUCUGCCUAGAACACUUGGCCCCUCCCCAGGAGAGCCCCCAGCCCGGUCCCUCCCCUCCUUGCAUUCUCGACUCAAAGAGCUGACCGGCAAGGCCAUCCCUGGCCUUCCAGUUUAAAAUCCCCCAUCACUGACUCUCCCCAUUCUGGCUUCAUCUCUUUUCACAGAACUUAUCACCACCUCCCAGGUGACCUGUUUCCACCCUGCGUUGUUGUUGGUCCAGGAGAGCAGGAGCUUGGACCUGAUCUGGUCAUGCCGCAUCCCUGGUGCCCAGAUCAGGCACUUAGAUCUGCCAGCUGGGUGACCGAUGUCACUCAGGCCUCAUGUUAGUCCCCCACAGGCAGUAGGCUAGGCUGUGACUGUAAGGAGGGCUGAAGUGGCUCCCUGAGGCCACCCAGCCGGCAGGUGACAGGCAAGAGAAGCUGGCGAUGAUGCCUCCUCGCCUCUCCCAUGUGGACUCUGGGGCAGCCUUGUGGCUGGCUCGGGGUGGGGACGGCGCUGGUCACCAGAUUCUGAAGGAGGGGGAUAAGGACACACCCCUGGAAUCCGAGGAGGUGCAGCAUAGGGCAAGUCUCAUGCGGUCCUGAGCCUUAACUCUGACACCCAGAUGAGCCUAGCCUCGUGGAGGCCCCACCCCAGCACCCUGCCAGCACCCAAGGCAACCGCCUGGGCUGUGUACAUGGCCUACCCACCCAGCGUCCUGGGGCCACACCUGCCAGCCCAGCUCUCCCUGGCUGAGUUAUGUCUGAACACUAGAUAGCCCCUGCUGGGCUGCAGGCCAGGGAGGCAGGCAUCACCUGGCAGGGUUUCCAGAGGCACAGGAGCCCCCAAGCAGGGGUCCCUCAGCUCUGCCACUCCUGUGGCGUCAGUGAUAACAAACAGGAGCUAAGGUUGGCAGGACGCCCACCACAGUCAACCAUGUGAACCAGCAAAUGCCUCUUUUUAAUCAAGUUUAAAUUCACAGCCAGUUGAAACAGUGAAUCUGAAGUUUCUAAAGAGCCCUCUAGGAGUUCUCAUUCUGGCUCAGUGGGUUAAGAAUUUGACUAGUAUCCGUGAGGAUAAGGAUUCAAUCUCUGGCCUUGUUCAGUGGGUUAAGGAUCCAGUGUUGCUCUGAGCUAUGGUAUAGGCUGCAGAUGUGGCUCAGAUCUGGCAUUGACAUGGCUAUAGUAUAGGCUGCCAGCUGCAGCUCUGAUUCAACCUCUAGCCUGGUAACUUCCAUAUGCUGCACAUGCAGCCCUAAAAAGUAAAAACAACAAC
rnacentral:lncRNA from 1 species